GUGCUCUCUUCGGCAGCCCAUACACUAAAAUUAAAACAAGGCAAAGAAGAUCAUCUUUCCUGCACAAGGAAAAUAUAUAAAUCUGUGAAGCAUUCCAUAUCAUU
rnacentral:snRNA from 1 species